CGUGUAGGCGGCCUGACAGGUCUGCUGUGAAAACUCGAGGCUCAACCUCGAGAUGUCGGCGGAAACCGUCUGGCUAGAGUCCGGAAGAGGAGAGUGGAAUUCCUGGUGUAGCGGUGAAAUGCGCAGAUAUCAGGAAGAACACCUAUGGCGAAGGCAGCUCUCUGGGACGGUACUGACGCUGAGACGCGAAAGUGUGGGGAGUGAACA
rnacentral:rRNA from 1 species